AAUCCAUAGGUUAAUGAGGCGAACCGGGGGAACUGAAACAUCUAAGUACCCCGAGGAAAAGAAAUCAACCGAGAUUCCCCCAGUAGCGGCGAGCGAACGGGGAGGAGCCCAGAGCCUGAAUCAGCAUGUGUGUUAGUGGAAGCGUCUGGAAAGGCGCGCGAUACAGGGUGACAGCCCCGUACACAAAAGCGCAUGUGCUGUGAGCUCGAUGAGUAGGGCGGGACACGUGGUAUCCUGUCUGAAUAUGGGGGGACCAUCCUCCAAGGCUAAAUACUCCUGACUGACCGAUAGUGAACCAGUACCGUGAGGGAAAGGCGAAAAGAACCCCGGCGAGGGGAGUGAAAAAGAACCUGAAACCGUGUACGUACAAGCAGUGGGAGCCCCACCACCAAAGCAUUUGCUGUACCGCGUUGACGGAGCGAAGCGACGUCAAACCGAUAAAACAGCAGUGUAAAGUGAGCCGCAGGGCGCUUUGCGCGACAGCGCAAAGGCAGGCGGUUUCGCGUAGCGAAAGCGAAUGCUUUGGGGUGGGGUGACUGCGUACCUUUUGUAUAAUGGGUCAGCGACUUAUAUUCUGUAGCAAGGUUAACCGAAUAGGGGAGCCGUAGGGAAACCGAGUCUUAAU
rnacentral:rRNA from 1 species